ensembl:rRNA 5S_rRNA 5S ribosomal RNA
GUCUACGGCUAUACCACCCUGAAUGCACCUGAUCUCGUCUGAUCUCGGAAGAAUCCGCCUGCAAUGUUGGAGACC